UGGUUCCUACGGGGGGCAGCAGUGGGGAAUAUUGCGCAAUGGGCGAAAGCCUGACGCAGCGACGCCGCGUGAGGGAUGAAGGUCUUCGGAUCGUAAACCUCUGUCAGCAGGGAAGAACGGUCACUGUGCUAAUCAGCAGUGAAUUGACGGUACCUGCAAAGGAAGCACCGGCUAACUCCGUGCCAGCAGCCGCGGUAAUACGGAGGGCGCGAGCGAUAAUCGGAAUUACUGGGCGUAAAGCGCUCGUAGGCGGUAUGUCAAGUAAAGGGAGAAAUCCCAGCGCUCAACG
rnacentral:rRNA from 1 species